rnacentral:rRNA from 1 species
GGUUCUCUCCGAAAUAGCUUUAGGGCUAGCCUCAAGUGAUGAUUAUUGGAGGUAGAGCACUGUUUGGACGAGGGGCCCCUCUCGGGUUACCGAAUUCAGACAAACUCCGAAUGCCAAUUAAUUUAACUUGGGAGUCAGAACAUGGGUGAUAAGGUCCGUGUUCGAAAGGGAAACAGCCCAGACCACCAGCUAAGGUCCCAAAAUAUAUGUUAAGUGGAAAAGGAUGUGGCGUUGCCCAGACAACUAGGAUGUUGGCUUAGAAGCAGCCAUCAUUUAAAGAGUGCGUAAUAGCUCACUAGUCGAGUGACACUGCGCCGAAAAUGUACCGGGGCUAAACAUAUUACCGAAGCUGUGGAUUGUCCUUUGGACAAUGGUAGGAGAGCGUUCUAAGGGCGUUGA